rnacentral:tRNA from 1 species
UAUUAAGUGGCCGAAUGAGUAAGCACUAGACUUUUAAUCUAGAUAAUGAUUGUAUUUAAUCCUUAAUAA